CCAUGGAGCUUUAAACCCGAUGACACCCCCGCCCCAUCUACACCCACGUAUUCGUUGGGGACCUGUUUACUCGGUUUUAGGUUGGGGUGACCGCGGAGUAAAACAAAACCUCCACGAAGAAUGGGCUUACCCCCUUAUCCAAGAGAUACAUUUCUAAGAAUUAGUAAACUAAUAUCUAAUGAUCCGAUUUUUUCGAUCAACGAACCAAGUUACCCUGGGGAUAACAGCGCAAUCCACUUCAAGAGCUCAUAUCGACA
rnacentral:rRNA from 1 species